rnacentral:rRNA from 1 species
GCGUUGUCCGGAAUUAUUGGGCGUAAAGCGCUCGCAGGCGGUCUUUUAAGUCUGAUGUGAAAGCCCACGGCUUAACCGUGGAGGGUCAUUGGAAACUGGAGGACUUGAGUGCAGAAGAGGAGAGUGGAAUUCCACGUGUAGCGGUGAAAUGCGUAGAGAUGUGGAGGAACACCAGUGGCGAAGGCGACUCUCUGGUCUGUAACUGACGCUGAGGAGCGAAAGCGUGGGUAGCGAACAGGAUUAGAUACCCUGGUAGUCCACGCCGUAAACGAUGAGUGCUAGGUGUUAGGGGGUUUCCGCCCCUUAGUGCUGAAGUUAACGCAUUAAGCACUCCGCCUGGGGAGUACGGCCGCAAGGCUGAAACUCAAAAGAAUUGACGGGGGCCCGCACAAGCGGUGGAGCAUGUGGUUUAAUUCGAAGCAACGCGAAGAACCUUACCAGGUCUUGACAUCCUCUGAUGACGGUAGAGAUACCGUGUUCCCUUCGGGGACAGAGUGACAGGUGGUGCAUGGUUGUCGUCAGCUCGUGUCGUGAGAUGUUGGGUUAAGUCCCGCAACGAGCGCAACCCUUGAUCUUAGUUGCCAGCAUUUAGUUGGGCACUCUAAGGUGACUGCCGGUGACAAACCGGAGGAAGGUGGGGAUGACGUCAAAUCAUCAUGCCCCUUAUGACCUGGGCUACACACGUGCUACAAUGGAUGGAACAAAGGGCAGCGAAGCCGCGAGGWGAAGCMAMCUYYYAUAAUUGAACCAUKCKCAGUUCRGAUUGCARGCUGCAWCUCGCSUGCAUKARSCCCGGWWUCSCKGAGUWAUCSCRGWCUYAGCAKGCMGCGGUGAAUACSUUCMCGKGCYUWSUACACCCCGYCCGYCRCWCCACGWGAGKKAGYAAGCWCCCGAAGUCGGUSMGSUMGACCAUUAGGAGCCAGCCGCC